GGAUAUAUAUAUAUAUAUAUACAUAAGAACCCAACAGGCCAGACGCAGAACGAAAUAAACGCAAAUCCCUUUUAUCCAUUCAAUAUGAACACACAUACGUAUAGAGAAACGGACGAAUUUAAAUGCAUAAAUACAGGCGACUGCACACCAAUCACCACCCACCGCACACCGCCCACAACCACCCCCCACAGAUGUGAGCAAGGCCUUUGUGGUUAAUAUUUGUAUUUUUCUUUACUUUCAUUGAAACGGCAUGAAAAUGGCCAUUGCAUUUUACGUGAAUUGUAUAUGGUAAAUAAUGCGAUUGUCUCACACGGCCGUUUUAUUUGCGGAAAAUUUAAAUUCGCCAUGGCAAUUGGGACAAGAUUCACACCGUCCUGAAGUAAUUAUGGGCCACUCUGUAUCGCCCCAACUCAGCACCCGCAACAACCCAGACCAGUUGCCCCACACCCAUUCCCACCAACCAGUAAUGAUUUCCAAAGGCUGUCACCCGCUUCUCACGACGAGAAAUCCAAUAAGCACUUGCUCCGCAGCGGCAACAAAACGCAUUGUUGUCGCUAUUUUCACGUUGAUUUCCCUUAUUGCCACGGGAAAACCGGUGCUGGCCACAUUCAAUUGAUUUUGAGUGAUUUUUUGGCAAGUACCCUGUACGUACACCGAACAUGGAAUCUUAUUUAAGGGGAAUAUUGGU
ensembl:ncRNA lncRNA:CR44472 long non-coding RNA:CR44472